rnacentral:snoRNA from 1 species
AGCACUUGUAUUCGUGUUUGUUUAAUUUGUGAACAAAGACUCACAGACAGGUGCAAAAAUAAAUCCUCUUUUGCAACCCAGAACUCAUUGUUAAGUAUGAGUUUUGAUACAGAUAAGAAGGGACAUA